rnacentral:lncRNA from 1 species
GAGCAGAUACUGGGAUUUGCCAGUUUUAAGACUGGAAGAUCCUGAGGAAAGUCACUGCUCCCUGCCCUGGGUUCCCAUCCAGGCCACUUUAGAGGCAAGGCUGUACUGCUGAGAAGAGAUUCUAAAUCCAGCUGGAAAAUGUCCCUCAGCAGGACCCACAGAGGAUAACAUUGAAAAAGGCAGUUUGACCUCCAGGUGGAGAGGGACAAGGCCUACUGUGUGAAGAAGAUGGUGGCCUCAUUCCCCUGCAGCUACCAGCUCCACAAGACAGGUGGCCGUCGCAGGCCUCUACCCCAACCUGGCCCAUCGGAGAUCCUGGCUCUGUAGGCAGAGCAGAGGACCAAGCCUUGCUCUCUGGCCACUCCAGCUCCUUAGGGGAAGUAGGUGUGUGUCUCCUCGAGAGGGUCUAAGCCAUAUCUCACUUCUCCACUGUCUUUCUCCAGGACAGUGUCCCCAAGAUGUACGUCUCAGCCAGGACCCCCAGAGCAGCCAGAAAAAGAGAUUGAGAGAAGCACACAGCCCCUCCCCAAGAUCCAGAUACAGUUCCAGGAGCUGGAGACACGGUCAGCAGAGUGCUUGCUUCGUGCACGAACUGCUGGGUCUCAUCCCCAGUGCAGAGUAAACUGCAUGGUGGUACACAUCUAUGAUCUCAGCGCUUGGGAGAUAAAGGCAGAAGGAUGGGAAAUUCAAGGUCAUUCUCAACUAUAUUGUAAGUCAGAGCUAACCUGGGCUACACGAGAUUCUGUCUCAGAAAAGAGAAGAGGAGAAGAGGCACCUGGGCCAGAGAUGACCACCUGAGAGCCCAGGCUGGGACUGGGAGGACAGGGGACUUUUGCCUGCAGGGCCCUGGAGCUCAGGCUAGGGAUCGUCCUAACCCCACCCCCCACCCCCAACCCCUGUUGAUUGUAGUCAGAGGGUUUGACCUGAUGUGGGGGCAUGAGGAAGACAUUUUAGUUAAUGGUCUCCAGUCAUGUAUGUACGGAAAGCUGUCAAUACAAUGGUAGCCACACA